GGGACACCAAACAACAAUGUAUGAGCACUAUUUUCUCUAUAGUCACUGAAUCACAAGGUCCUUAUCAUGAAAUGCAGCUGGAUCAUCCUCUUCUUGAUGGCACUAGCUACAGGGGUCAACUCAGAAGUCCAGCUGCAGCAGUCUGGGGCUGAGCUUGUGAGACCUGGGACCUCUGUGAAGUUAUCUUGCAAAGUUUCUGGCGAUACCAUUAUAGCAUACUACAUGCACUUUGUGAAGCAAAGGCCUGGACAGGGUCUGGAAUGGAUAGGAAGGAUUGAUCCUGAGGAUGAUAGUACUAAAUAUGCUAAGAAGUUCAAAAACAAGGCGACACUCACUGCAGAUACAUCCUCCAACACAGCCUACCUGAAGCUCAGCAGCCUGACCUCUGAGGACACUGCAACCUAUUUUUGUACCACACACAGUGUUGCAACCACAUCCUGAGUGUUUCAGAAAACGCAGAGGACAAAGAAGUUGCCCUGGUACUGAAAUGAAAAACAAAAUUAUUCUGAACAUUUGCUCAUAGUCAUUCUGACUGUCCCUGUGUCUGCCUCCUCCUCACAGUUCUAUAUGGUAUAUUUCUACUUUUCAAAAGGACAUCUCUGGUGAUAUGAUCAAAGAAGUGUCUCGUUAGUCUGGUUAAGGGUUUAUCUCUCUUGUUGAUUUUAUCAAUGAACCAGGUUUUGGUUUGGUUGAUUCUCUCUACAAUUCUUUUUCUUUCUACUUGGUUGAUUUCAGCCAUGAGUUUAUUUCCUGCCCAGUAUUCCUCUGGGGUGUAUUUACUUCUUUUUGUUCUAUAAAUUUUGGGUUUACUGUCAAGGGGCUAGUGUAUGCUUUCUCCAGUUUCUUUUUGGAGCACUCAGAGCAAUGAGAUUUCCUCUUAGCACUGCUUUCUUUGUGUCCUGUAAACAUGUUGUGCUUUCGUUUUCAUUAAAUUCUAAAACAAUCUUUAAUUUCUUUUUUUAUUUCUUUCUUGAACAAGUUAUCAUUGAGUAUAUUGUACACUGAACAUUUCCUCUAUGACAUCAACGUUUCAUUUCCUUGUCCCUAUCAUAGCCAU